AUAGAUAGAUAGAUUAAAAAAUGGUAUGCAUAAUUUAUCAUUUUCUGGAAAGUAAUGAAACGUGUCUUAUUAAAAGACAAAACAAGAUAUAUAAGACAGAAUAAUGGAAUAAAUUAAAUAUUGAUUAUGGAUUAUAAAAAAGUUCACGCGAUGAUAUAAACUGUUGGGCACGCUAAAUCUGGCGGCUCGACUCCAGGGCGGCCACGCUCGAGUCACAUUGUCAGAGCCGAGGAAAGAGGUUACACAGGGACUGAUGGAGAAGUUAGAAGAAAGAGAUCUAUAGAGAUCGCCAUUGUAUCUUGUCUACUAUUCGGUGUAUCCUGUGGUGUGUCCUAGGAUACCGGGACAUCGCGAAUUAACUAGCCGUAUUCCCUCGAUGAACAUCGGCUGUGACCUCAACGACAACGACGAGAUUGUCUGAAAAGAACCACUCUUCGCAUCGUCGAGCCUUAAUCGAGGUCGUGCUACCCAUAGUUUUUUCUUUAUAUCGUUGUAUUCCAGAAAAACGGAACGAUUCCUCAUCUCGAUGAUCCUUCUCCGCUCGACAGUUAUAGGGAAGUCAUAUCUUUUCAUAUAAUUUUAAUCACACUUUAAAAGAAACAUUUGUUAUCUUACUCAUAACAUAUUCUUCUGUGCUCCAAAAAAAUGUCGAAAUAAAUCAUUAGAUUCUA